AUUUUUAAUUCUGAAAGUUAUGUGUACGUGGUAGUUUUGAAAAGUAUUACGAUGCUGCAAAGAAGAUGUCAGUAAACAACUUGUGGUAAAUAACCCCCACCUUAGGGUCGGGUAACAUUUGGGAGUGCUACGACAUUGAAGGAGGAUCUAUUUGGGAGGGAUGGCAAAAAUACUGCUCCGUCACCUCAGAAUCUUAUAGUACAAGAGACUGACCAGUUCUCCUCCCUGGCCGUGCCAAGAGGGUGAAAAUAUGCAAAGUGGGAAUUUUAUUCAGAAUUGAGACAAUGGAGGUUUCAAAAGUCCAAACUGAGAGCUUUUUUGAGACUGUUGUACGUGUGGUAAAGAAGUACUUACAUCUUUUUACAACUCGCAAAAAGUGCAAAGCACUCUAGGCGUGUGGGCCAAGCCCUAUAUUUAAAUGCAGCUACAGAUCUGGGAACCAAUUAGGCACCUGACAGCCCACUGGAAAUCAGGUGGCAGAUGUUCUGCAAAGUUCAGCAAUAAAGAAUGUUGUAGAAUUAUA